rnacentral:rRNA from 1 species
GAGUUUGAUCGUGGCUCAGGAUGAACGCUGGCGGCGUGCCUAAUACAUGCAAGUCGAGCGAACGGACGAGAAGCUUGCUUCUCUGAUGUUAGCGGCGGACGGGUGAGUAACACGUGGAUAACCUACCUAUAAGACUGGGAUAACUUCGGGAAACCGGAGCUAAUACCGGAUAAUAUUUUGAACCGCAUGGUUCAAAAGUGAAAGACGGUCUUGCUGUCACUUAUAGAUGGAUCCGCGCUGCAUUAGCUAGUUGGUAAGGUAACGGCUUACCAAGGCAACGAUGCAUAGCCGACCUGAGAGGGUGAUCGGCCACACUGGAACUGAGACACGGUCCAGACUCCUACGGGAGGCAGCAGUAGGGAAUCUUCCGCAAUGGGCGAAAGCCUGACGGAGCAACGCCGCGUGAGUGAUGAAGGUCUUCGGAUCGUAAAACUCUGUUAUUAGGGAAGAACAUAUGUGUAAGUAACUGUGCACAUCUUGACGGCACCUAAUCAGAAGGCCACGGCUAACUAC